UCCAGCAGGGGGACACAGCACAGGCAAUAGACAAAUAUCCAGACCACGAGGCACGAUCUCAUUCAUCAUUUUAUUUUGAGCAUUUUAUACCACACUGCACCGUAUUUUACAAUGCUGUGUCAUAUAAAUCAAUGCUCUUUUGGACAAUUGUACUAGAUGUUUAAUGGCAGAGGCAAACUGUACAAUAGGAUGACAUGUUCCUUUAGGUGUGCGUGUGUUUGUGUAAAUUAACCAGCAGCUGUUAAGGUAUCCAUACGUGGGCCCUGUGAGCAGAACGGCCCCCUGAAUCCUGAGAGAGCGGAGCACAUAAUCUCUCCGGAUGGUGCUGCAGUUUCAGUAACUGUAACAGUUUCAUGUGACGAAAAUCUAAAUUGUAAUUCUCACCUCAGCGGCACUUUAUUCACCCCUUUCUUUUGUAGGGAUCGUGCAAAUUGUUAGAAUUCUUCCCACAAAGCACAAGGCGUCAGGCACUCAAGUCCCCCCCAUAUUUACAGAAAAGCCAGCAUGCAAAUCCCAAAACCACAAUGCAACACAGACUGCAGGUUCACACGCUUAUUUAGCAGCUUUAGUUAUUUCUCCCAACAACAGAGGGCAUAAGUUGCUGUUAACCAACCGUUUUAGUUGCAAGAAAAAUGGCUCACUCAAUAAAACAAAAAUGCAAUUGUAAACCUUCAUCGCCCGCAAAUGAAAAAUAUUAAUUACGCUGACAUUCAGCUACUGGCAGAGAGCAGCGUCCAUAAAAACAUUCUUAAAAUUAACAAAAGGUGUAUGCACUCCAGGCUUUGGGAAAGUAAUACUGCAAAAUGAUUCAUUUAAGCAACUAAGGGAAUCAUUAGAAACAUAAUGUCCAAUGAGUUCACCUCAGCGUGACAGCUCUUAUACAACUUUCCAUGACCUGUGAAGGAGACAAUGAGGUAGGUGUGAACCAGAUUCCAUCAUGUAGUUCUCUCUUGAGUCACGCCCUGUUGGUGCGAGCGUGGAUCACGGCUUUAAUGUGACCAUAUGUGGCAACACGUGUGUGACAAUCACUGAUUGUAUUAGACAUCAGAUGUGAUGUCCACUAUACAUAGUGGCAAUAGAAAUAGAUGGAAGCAACACAUAGUGAACACACAAAUUCCACAGAGCGAUUGAACAGUGUUGAUUACAUUUUAAAAAUGACUUUAACCAAGUUAAAUUAUCCACAAGGCUGAAUGUCUGAUUUGUUGCUCCAGUUGGUACUGCAGCUGCUUAUCUGAAUGACCGCAUUCCCUUUGGAUGAGCUUUUACAAAUGUUACCACAUACAAGCAGACAGGGCAACAAAGCAACAUUUAAAUGUUGGAUUAGCAGUGAGAACAUGGUGCGAUCAGAAAUUGAGGUUAUGCAAACAAACUGCAAUACCCUGCCAAUUGCAGUGCACGUUGCUCACUGAGAGGUUGCAAAGCCGAAGGUCUCGCUUUAGUAACCAAAAGUUCCAUAUGUUUAAGAAAUCACCUGCCAAAACAGGCCGACUGAAAAUCCCAUGGUAUUUUAUAGAGAAUAUGCAAUCCCCUGUAUCACAGAAUGGUAGGAGUCUCAAACUCUUCACUUUUCUUUCUUUUUUUCUUCUCUGAUAUCUGGCCAACUAGUCAUUCUGCUAUUCGCAGAAGAAACAAAGAUAACUGAGUCAAAUUUCGAGAUCAGACAGCAUGCAAGGACACAUACAUAAUUAUAAGCAUUUUAUCCUGCGACUUCCAGAGAAACAACUGUUGAAACACGCCAUCAGGACUAGGCAAGGUCACACUCACAUGUUUACGUAACUCUAAAAGCACAUCAGACAUAUUGUAGGAAAAAAGAAAUCAAUGAUUUGAACUUUGAGGGUGGACAAACUCCAUCAACCGAUUAGCUGAAAAAAACAUGGCCUGGUCAAUAGACUGUUGGAUGACCAGGGAGAUAUUUUUGAAUAAUUGAGGAUUUGGGGUUUAAAGUUAUGUAGGAGGCUAUUAGGAUUUUUUUAAAUACUGUGAAUCUCUGAAAAAACUAUGUUGUUUUAGGAGAAAAAAAAGAUUAAAAUUUAAUUUAAAUUCAACGAGUUUGAUAGAUCAAAUAUGCUGAUACAAUGAACCCAUUACCCUGGAGAACUCAGCAACACUCUGGUCAAAGUACAGACAUAACAAUCU
ensembl:lncRNA